rnacentral:lncRNA from 1 species
GAUGGCAUACCUCAAAGAAUUCAAAGUUACUGGUAACUAGCCUUCUUUUCUUUUUCCAGGAGAUGAUCCACAUGUCUACACGUUCUCCAGAAUACUUAAGGCAGUGUGCCACAACUCAUUAUUACCAAGAGUGCUCUUUUUAACUGGGGUUG